rnacentral:misc_RNA from 1 species
UUUUAGCCCCGAUCGCAGCAAUUGUCUGAGCUCAUUUUUCUUUAAAAAAGAAAAAUAGCGAGUGCGGAGAGCGGGAUAUAGC